rnacentral:lncRNA from 12 species
AUGUGGACUUGCUGCCCAGGAGACACAAACUUGCGCCAGGAAGAAAAGAAAUUGCAUGGAGUGGAAAGAGGCCAAUUCCUAGAAGCCACCAUGACACUAAGAGGCUUCGGUUGUCUUCAGGACUCAGUCUGGAAUCCAUCCCUUGAGCCUCCUAAGAAGGCUCCUCUUCUACAAAAGGAAAAGUUUGGAACUCCCAGUUGUAUCGUGUGCCAGUACACAUCCCAGCAGGGCAGGGAUGGCGAUGGUUCUGCCUGCUGUGAGUUGAGCACUGUGCACAUCAGUGGCUGUGAGCCUCCUCCUUCCACUGGACUCUUGGGGCGUCAUUGCUUAUGCCAUCUUUAUAUCACCGUGUAGGUGUUGAAGUCAGAGUCUGGGAAGUCCUGGGCCUGUGAAAUGAACAGCUGGAGGGCAAUGAAAGUCACGGGAACAGCUGACGCAACCGUAUAGCCAUCAUCAUAUAAUCAAACAAGGAUAACUUUUCUUCCACAGAUGCCUAGACCAGAGCAGCUGCCACCCUGGACUAUGUACCAUCUACUGUCUGUCUAUCCCUGGAAGUUCCUCAACCAGGCCACAGAUUUAGUUAAAUGACCUUCUACAAAAUGUCUAUGACAUAGAAGACUCUCUGCCUUGCUGGGGAGAUAGAAAUGAGAAGCAAAUACGUAUCUUGGCAGAUCUGUGCAUUCCUGGCAUCGUGCAGUGGGUGUGGUACCCAGUAGGGCCUCACUGGAUGGUGUGAGGUGUGAAUGGACGAACGUGUGAGAGCCUUCCCCCAGCUGCUGACUCUGCUGCAUUUAGAGAUCUCUGUUUCAUCAGUUUUAAAUGCAUAUUUUAAAGAAUCUGGGGAAGAUGCCCAGUCCUGAAGGUCUUUAACAAUGACAUUUGAAAUGUCUCUUGAGGGGGGUUUCAUGGGCCUGUGUCCUGUGUCAUCACAUAAGAUCCUUCCCUUAGAAUGGCCCCCAUGUAUGAUAUAAUGGUCUUUUGUCACCCUCUUGAAAUUCUUAACAGUUUCUGAAUAAAGGCUGCUCAUUGGCACUGGGCCUUGCA